GCUGAAACCUGUUGGUGGAUUUAUCUCUCUCUCUCUCUCUCCAUAAAAGGACCUUUGCUAUAUAUCCACACACAAUCCAUUACCCAUCUCCACAUUCUCACUUUGCCACCUUCCAUUAUUUCUUUACACAGUCUUUAUCUCUUUCUCCAACAUAACCAACCAAAAGCCAAGCUCCAUCACUUACCCACUUCACAUAUCGAUCCCAAAAUGCCAUCAGAUACUUCCACCGAAACUCGAAAAUUAACCAAACCCCACACGACUGCAGCUCCACCACCAGAGCAAGAGCACCUCCCUUGCCCUCGCUGUGAUUCCACCAACACCAAAUUCUGUUAUUACAAUAACUAUAACUUCUCCCAGCCCCGCCACUUCUGUAAGUCUUGCCGCCGUUAUUGGACCCAUGGUGGCACCCUACGUGACAUCCCUGUUGGUGGCGGCACCCGCAAGAAUGCCAAGCGGUCACGUACUGCUGCUACAAUCACCGCCACAGCAGCUGAUAAUUUCUCAUUUCCCGCUACCCCUGUACUGGUGCCACUCAUGACCAAUCAAGGAACGUCCGUGCAGUUUGGCUGUGGUGGCGGCGGUGGCCAUGGGAAGGAUAGCGGGAGCAGCACCACAGGUGGUUCUACAGUGUGCGGGAGCUUUACUUCUUUGUUGAAUACUCAGGGGCCUGGAUUUUUGGCGCUUGGAGGAUUUGGGCUUGGUCUAGGGUCUGGGUUUGAGGACAUGGGCUGUGGGCUUGGGAGAGGGGUGUGGCCUUUUCCUAGUGUGGGCGAUGGUGGUGCUGGGGUUGGUGGUGGCCAUGGUGGUGCUACCGCAGGAAUGGGUAACACGUGGCAGUUUGAGAGUGGGGAUAAUGGAUUUGUUGGUGGGGAUUGCUUUCCUUGGCCUGAUCUGGCUAUUUCAACUCCUGGAAAUGGUCUUAAAUGAUGUUCUUCUUUGGGUUCUCUUCUGGGUUUUGGCCCUUUCCUUAAAAAAAAAAA
rnacentral:misc_RNA from 1 species